GGGUUCCACAGUGAUGAAUACUACUAGAGCCAAUCCAAUGAAAAAUAAUGAAAUUUCCUGUUAAUAAUCUGAUGUUGAAGUUUCUUUCCUUCUACAAUUUGUCUGAGAUAAGUAUUUUCAUAUAUGUAUAUCAACUCCUGUUUCAGUAUGCAAAGCAAAGAGAAGAGAGAAAGUUACUGUUAUUUCUGACCCGGUAGACUCUGCAGAAAUACUGGCUGAACCUGUUCUGCCAGCAGGACUCUGGCUUGUCUGCAGAAAUACUGGCUGACCUCCCCGUUCUGCUGACAGGUUCCUGUCACACAUGGAAUACUUAGUAGUACAGGUAUCAAACCAUUUAUUCUGAAUCCAGAAGAUUGUUAAUUCCAGAAGUUGGAUAUUUUUAAGCUGGCUAGUUUUGAAUGUGACAGGCUUUUUGGUAGUUUGUGGCAUGGCUAAUGUAUUCUGAUUUGGGAUUUUGUACCUGCCAAGUAUUACUCGUACAUUCAAUUUGACACUCAAACUAGGCCUUUUCCUCUGCAAAUUUGUGAUUACAGUAUUUGCUCCAGUAUAUUUUAAUUUCAUUUUCAAUACUCAUGUCUAAAAGGCAAACAGAAAGGCAGCUUGCUUGUAGACAUUAAUAAGGCUUUGAGUGAAGUUCAGAUUAAAAUUAUUGGAUUUAUAUUGUUUAUUCAGAACUUGUUUUUUUCUAUAAUUUUUUGUUCAUGGUAAUUGUGUUGCAUAAUCUCGAUUGGGGGCAGAGCAGAUUUUGUUGUGCUGUCAUCUCAGUCACAUUAGUGUCUUUUGGGUGUUCGAGCUAUUGCUCUGGAGGUUGCAAUGAUAAGACCUCUGUUAGCUUUCUCUGAAAAUUACUGGGUGUGGAAAGCACGUGAGCACUUGAAAGUUGCCUCCAUUGUGAGAGUGACCCCUGAGAGGUUGAGCCACCCCUUUGUCUGACCUGAGUCACCUGACCCUACCAAUAAGUAUCCCAGAUGCCCUCAACCUAUAUGACUAUUAUCUUAAAAGCUAAAUAAUCCAUACCUAAUAUUUGAAUUUCAAUAAAAAUGUAAAAAGAACUGAUACAUUAAAGAUAAAUAUGUGAUGUGGCGUAGUAGCUAUCAGAUCUUGGCCAAUGCCUAAGUGUUCUUCCGAGAAUAAAAAGUUCUACACAUCAGAGGAAAACAUGGGAAACUGGUCUUCCAUUUCUUCACAGUGGAGUAAAGCAUAGAAAAUACAAAGAUAAAAGCCUGCCUGAGGUGUGUAACUAGCUGCGUAAGAGUCAAAUAUAAACAUAAAACUUAAUCCAUUGCAUUGCCUUCAGCUGAUUUCUUAAAGAUCUUUACUUAAAGUAACUUUUGAAUCCUUAGCCAUAUAAAAUCUCAAACUGGUAACCCAAUGCCCUUGGGGUUAGAAUAUUUAAGUCUUAUUACUGUUGAAUGAUGUGUAUUCUAUUAUGUUAAAAUUAAUAAUUGUAUUAAUUUUCCAUAUUACAUGUUGAUAACUCUAAUUUUUGUUUCCAGUUUUUUUGCAUGAAUUUUUUUUUAUUGUGACACCAUUUCUAGUCUUAUUCCAGCAAGGACUGGGACUUGAAGUGACUCAGAAUUAUACCAAUUCUCCUUUGACUUCCUGAAAACUCAUCAAUAAAUUGCCAAGACAGUUGGCAAGACUUUGCAUGGUACUGAGGUUCAAAACCUACUAAACCUAGUUACUGUAGUUCUUCACUUCACCCAUGUGACUGCUACAAAGUGAUUCACUCUCAGCUUGUGCUACUUGACAAAGUACAUGCAUGUACGUGUUCAGUAGCUAAGUACUUUGCUAUAAGCAAAUUUAAACAUCAAGAUUAUUUUGAACUCCUAGAAUAGCAAUUUUAGAAUUUUUCAACAAUUCUAGGAAACUUUUCUAAUACCAUUAUUGUUGCCAAUUAACUGACAUCUUCAUUGACCACAACUUGCUGACCUUGCAAGAAAAUAACCAACAUGCUGAUACUUGAAAUUUUGACUAACAUUCUGUUUUUUUCAAUAAAAAUGCAGUCAACUUUGAAUCUUGGCACAAAUUUCCUGAGAAAGUAGCUCAUGUAACUGCCUUUAGUCACUUGGUGGCAGUCUGACCAACUGGUAAAACUUAAAAGCCAGCCCCAUGGUAAUUUAUUUUCUCUCUCUCUUUUCCAGUGAUGAUAAUUUUUAUGGAUGAGCUUUGUUAACAAAUAUGUUCUUUCAGUUGGUACAAAUCAUGUUACCAAGGGGAGAAACACAACAGCCAUGAAGUCAUCCAACUUCAUGUCAACAGUCAUGAGUACAUACAAGUUUCUUGUUCAAAUGGCUGAACUUCUUAGCAGAGGAAGCAUGAAACUCUGUCAAUGAUUGGAAAUGAAUGACAAGAGGAAAAUAGACACCGUCCAGGAGGAGAAGAAAUGCUUCUUGGACUAUUCUCAGGGGUGCUGAUGUACAUUUCUGUCCUGCUGGGAGUUGCACUCAUGUAUGCAAAGCAAAGAGAAGAGGGAAAUUUACUGUUAUUGCUGACCUGGUAGACUCUGCAGAAAUACUGGCUGAACCUGUUCUGCCAGCAGGACUCUGGCUUGUCUGCAGAAAUACUGGCUGACCUCCCUGUUCUGCUGACAGGUUCCUGUCACACAUGGAAUACUUAGUAGUACAGGUAUCAAACCAUUUAUUAGGACUCUGGCUUGUCUGCAGAAAUACUGGCUGAC